AGUUAAGGUCUAGAGGUCUCACUCUCCCCUGAAAAUAUCAAAUCGAGCUGUGAGUUUGGGGGAAAGGAAAAUAUCUUUAUCUCUCUGUUGUACUCCACUUUGUGCACACACUGAGAUAAGUUUAGGGUGGACAACAAAGGGUCUCGUGCUCCAGUUCCUGCUGCAGAAAAUAUCAACUUUGGAUCCACUAGUGCCUGUAUUCAGAGUUCUUAUCUGGCCCUUUUCCCUGUCUAUGUUACUGGACUAAGUUCAGUGUCUAGGAAAGCCAGUGUCCUGCGUGGUAUGUGGAUUUGGGAGCCACGUUUGUGAGUCCCUGCUGUGUUGUCACCCUUGGAACCCUUCUCCACCAGUCUAGCUGAACUCGAGGACAUCUGCCCUAUCCUGGUUGCUUUAGCGCCUGGAUCAGGGAAUCCUCUUCCCUGUCCUUGAGCUCUAGCCCUGGUUUCUUUGCAUGUGUGGGGGUGGUCUUCGUGCCUUCAGGGAUCCUCGACGGGGUUUUCAGCCGCGUUGUGCUCGUCCCAUAAUCUCCAGAGAGCUCCCAAAAUAAAGAGUGAAGAUUCAAGAUGAAGUGGUUGCUAAAGAGGAGUCUACUCCAAUGCCUGCUUAUCAAGUGGAUGGAGCUAUCUAACUAAAGGUUGGGUAGAAGGAUUUUGGGAUCUUCUCCUGCAACAAGGCAAGCCCCGGUGCAUUUGCCACCCUCCUUGUAUUUACAAAAUUUUAUCA